rnacentral:rRNA from 1 species
UACAGAGGUCUCAAGCGUUGUUCGGAUUCAUUGGGCGUAAAGCGUGCGCAGGCGGUUCGUGAUGUCUGAUGUGAAAGCCCCGGGCUCAACCUGGGAAUUGCAUUGGAAACUAGCGGGCUGGAGUGUGGCAGAGGGGGGUGGAAUUCCACGUGUAGCAGUGAAAUGCGUAGAGAUGUGGAGGAACACCGAUGGCGAAGGCAGCCCCCUGGGCUAACACUGACGCUCAUGCACGAAAGCGUGGGGAGCAAACAGG